GCCCCCAACCUGUUGACCUCUUCAUGCCUUGAAGUUGAGCAAGUGCCACAGGUAUGGUGGCCAUGCUUGGAGGCCGGAUCUGAGUCACUCACUGCCCCCAGGAAAGUCGCAACCUGGCUGCUGCGGCCUCCACACGCCUUGAUGUGGUCAGCAUCCCUGUCACACCUUGAGGAGUUGUGAGCGAGGGAUGACUGUGUUCCGAUGCACAAAGGGAGCUUGAGAAAGCGGAGUUCUGCGUCGGAACAGCUCCGAUUGGUGCCCACGGGAAACGGGAGCGGCGGGGACCUUGCGCGCCGCGUGGCAAUUCCAACGAGGCAGUUUCUCGGGACUCCGUUUCUCGCCUUUCGGAAACGCUUCUUCAUCUGUCACAGGUUUGUUGAUGUCUGCUCGUUAAUUUGGGAUUUCUGGGUAUGAAUUUCUGUACCCCGAACCCGCGCGACUAAAUCAAGCACCGAGCAGGAGACAGCCUCCGUAAGACGGAGUUAAAUCAAGUGGGACUUCAUUUUCGGUUUCGAAACGGAAAAAAAAAAACCGUAAAGUAAAAUAUGAAGCCCUUUGCCGCGUAUUGCUACACAGGGGAGCUUGAACGUGCCUUCAAAGGGGAACCUGAAAGCGCUCGCGUAGGGCCAGUCCUCGUUAGUAUAGUGCAAAGCAGAGUCUCCCACGUUUCAGAAACUCUGCUCUCCGAGCGAGUAAACCUACCCGGCCGAAAUCAGCCCCGGGUCCCCUGUAUCCCACGGUUCCAAGAACAAGACCAAGGUCUCUCACCCGGGCGUCUCCCCCCACCGCCACCGCCACCGCCACCCCCACGCCCCCAGCGCUGCAGUGAAGUCCUGUCCUUGCACAGCGGGUCCCAGGACGGGACGGUCAACCUCCAAGGCCGGGAAGUGCUGCUUCCGCUGCGAAUACUCCCCUCUCCUGUGACUUGCUCCGGGCCAGGCUGGCCCUCGGAAAAUGUUUAUGGAUUCGAGACCCGAGGCCUGGGGACCCUGCACGGAAACGUUUUCUUGUCUUAACUUCGUUGCAGACUCCUUCCUGGGUCAGCUCUCAGCCUCC